UCCCCAGCCCCUUAUUUCAUUGUUUAAAACAAGAGAGAAAUCUGAAUUUAGGAGUGACAAAAUAACCAUUUCCAGAAAUACAUUUGAAAUUUUAGGAAUUAUUUGCAUAGAUAGUAUAUAUUACACAGGUUAAAAAACAGUGUUUUUUAAAAGUAUGAUACAACAUUCAUACAUAUUACUGUCCUUUUAAAGUAUGAUGCUAUAUUAAUAAAUAUGACUGUCCUUUUGCCAUUGGGCAAUGCAUUUAGCAAAAAAAAUCAUUGAAAAGGGCACUUUUGCUCACAAAGACCAAUAUUUGUGAUGGAAGCAGUGAGGCUUUUAAACAUAACUUAUUAUGCAGUAACUUAAAGCCCUAAAAGCAGUAGGGCCUUGCUGAUGCACACACUCCCAACUGCGAGUCGCAGAUGACAUCCUACAGUUACAAGAACCGCCAGUGCCUAGGGCAGAAUGCAUGGACUUGCACACUUGCCUAGCGGUACUGAGCACCGACUGUGCCCCACGGCAGGGCAAGACGGAGUGUGACGGUGCGACCACCGCAGCGCUGUCAAACCACAGCGUGUCUUGUAACUUUAUUGCAGAUCACUACCUUGUUUGUCUCCCACCUUCAUUCUUCUGUGACCGCAAUUUCUCUCUUUUGCUGGAUGUUUUAGUAGAGGAACUAACAGCUGCGAACUCCUGCACUACUUUGAUGCCUUCGGGGGUCCUCACAUUUCCCCCUCACUUCCUCUGCAUAGCUCAUCGCAAGUAUUCGUCCUGUGGAUUCCUGACACUCCGCGCCAAGGAAACAUCCAGGUUAGGCACAUCCUGUUUCAACCUUUCCAUCAUCCCGUCCACCCGCAGUUAGGUUCGCAUCUUCUCCCUGCUGCCUGCGUUAUUGGAGCUGCGCUUAGUGGAGUCCCUUCUUCUAGUUCUAGCGAUCCGAUCAUCCUCCAUAGAUAGCUGGUAAGCUUCUACACAUACGUGGCAUACCCCGGAGACGAAGAGAAUGUGCUCAUCGGCUGACUUCACCGUUACCUACAGACUCUGAGCUGGUAAAGGUCACUUCUCUGCGCCUCAGCUUUCUUAUUUAUUAAGCGGGGCUGACAGUAGCAUCUGGCUUAGGAAGAGCUGAGGUGGGAUAGGCACGGGGAUGAAGGGCUGCUGCCCAGGACAAUGCGGUGAAUGAAGACUGUGCGGAUAGACAGCAUCCGCAGUGACUUUGGAGCAAAGCAGCUGCACUGGGAGUGUUGGGCAGUUGACUGACUGAGUUGUGAGGCCCAGAGGACACACUGCACAACCUCUUAGAACAGGAAGUCCGUAAACGGGCUAGGAAACGCGCUGCAGAAUAGAUGCUUAGUGAUGUAGUCACGUGCCCAAGACGGAAGGCGGAUAAACAGCGAGAGGAAAGAGGGAGGCAGCCACCAUGGGGGUCGGAAGCAAUUCUUGGAUGAUUUCUCCAAGGGUAAAGAUGUGCCAAUGGCCACUUGGUGAUAACUGUUGUAUUUUAUCAGGGCAGCUUGGUGCUUUCCCUGCUGACUCAUCCCAAAGCUGCUGCUUCAGCAAAACUAUAGCUUCAUUGGUCCAGGAGUUUCCUGAGUCUGCUUUGGGAGGCAGAGAUACUUCCUGAGCUAUCGGGAGACUUCACCGAGGCCAGGCGAGUGCCGGCGCUGAAGAAUUUCCAAGAUAGUUGCGGUGGUCACAGGGCAGAAUUUAGAUUGGAUUCUUGUUCCGUCUAACCAAAGUUUGGAAAUCACCUGCAGGUUUCAUUUUCAUUAAUAUAAAUGAUAAUACACUCAUUGCGAGGCUACCACAGGAUUUGAAAAAUGAUCCGUCACAGCAUUUUUCCCCUGUUGUUCAAUAUGGCCGACCUUAUUAAGGCUGUAUCAAUGGAGUUGUUCUGCUCUAUAGCAUAAUUACAAUCAUAUUUCUGCUUCUGCCUUGUGUAUACAUAUACAAAAACCAAAGUUAUACUUUUGGUCAGAUACAGUGACAAAACGCACAGGACCUAAUGCAACUGAUUGCUUUUGAAAGGAUAGAAUUCACUCUUUUGGUCCUGAGUUAGGAUUGUGAUUUGCUAAAUCUAGUAAAGAAAAAGUAACUCAUUAAUCCGGAGUUGGAAAAGAUGGGUGAGGCAGGUAAGGGUUGGCCUCCAGUUUCCAUGCCUGCAGUGUGUGCCUCAGGGCAGAGCUCGAGCAGUUAGGGGAUGCUUGAAAACCAGAAGACCCGGAGCAGCGUGUCCUUAAAGGUCAAACUCAUACUGAGGAAGUGUAGUAUUUCAAAACCCUUGGGGAGAAGAAAGUCUGUUUUCUCCUUGCCUAAGGCUCUGCUCCCGACCUGCUACUGGGUGCUCUGCACCUUCUCGUCAAUCCCUUGCUCAAGCACACAGGAGCAGACUCGUGUAAUGGGAGAAGUGACUCUUUAGAAGGGUUGGGUCCCAUCUGAAGAGGGAAAUCGUCUCCCGUGCCCUUCAGCACAUUCCUGGGAGUUGGUGGUGGAUGAAAGUCACACCUCUGAUUGGUCCUUGGAGUUUCACAGGAGAAGAGCGUCACCCUACGUGGAGGCUGGAAAGCCAAGAAAAGGUGGCUCUAGGUUUGGCUGUUCCUGAGGACUUUCUCUUAGAUCCACUGAAAAUAGUGUUGAAAGCUUGGUGGAAUGGUGUGAGAAUAUGAAAGACCUGGUUUAUAUUAAAUCAGUCAGGAGGAGAAGGAAUACUCUAUUGAAUACUCAGAGACUACCAUUCAUCCGUCUCUCUCCUGAUCACAGAGAUACGAGGUUCAAAGCUGAUGCCACAGUCUUGCACAGUCCUGAAUGAGAAGAUGAGACCGAGAAGUGUGUGGUCCUAACAGCACCGCAAGAUACAGAGGAGAGUCAGGAAAUUCAUCGUGAGAGUUUGUAAUCUUCAGGCUUUCUGUGUGUGAACCGUAUAUUGUCUCAUUGUUUAAAUCAGUUUAUUGUGGCUUGCUUGAUAUUGUUUUUAGAUUUCCUAUUAUUUUCAGCCAUGCUAUUCUAACAUUUACAAAAUGACAGCGUGAAAACCCACAGGAUCCAUUUGGAAGAAAUUAAUUUUCUAUACAACGGAGAGAUUUCUGCCAGUCUGUGUUUGGUGACUGGCAGAUGCGUUGAAGAGGCUUGCGAAAGUUUGUCCUUGUGGGGUGAACGGCCAACGCGAGGCUCUCAGUUGCACUGAUAUUCAAUAGAUGACUCAGCUUGCUGACAUAAAAGUGGUUAUUUUCCAAAUAUCAUGAAAUAUAUAACCGUUACUGGAUAGAUAGUCAUGUAACAUUGCUGUAAUGAUCAUUUUCAGUAUUUCAUUCCGGAGUAAUGGAAAUCUAUCUAUUUUAAAAAAUAGCUUACAGGUUUUUAGUGUAGGAAAACCCCGUUAUUUUCUUGUGAAGAAGCUGAGUCACAGCCAUCUGUUCUGUUUACACUAUGUACAUGGAAGGCAGAAGAGUAUCGCCCCACGCAGAUGCAGAGAUUACAGUAAGGGUUCUAUUAACAUACGAAGGUAGCGCUUCUAAUGUGUGAUUGUUUACAUAUUCACUGAUUGCAUUUGUAUGAAUUUGUAAUAUAUGAACAUGAAGUAUUUAUUUUUUAGCACAGAAUACUUAAUACAUCAAGUAGAAUCUGGUUUUAUAAAUAUGAGCGAUUUGAUUUCUCAGCAACUCAUGUAUACGUUUGCUAUGGUUUAUAUCAGGAUGUCCUCCUGAAGCUUUGUGUGAGGUGUGGGUGUGACGCAGAAGGGAGAGAUGUUUUAUCCCAGCUCCUCCCUUCACUCUCUGCUUCCUGGGCACCAGGACACGAGCAGAUAUUCCUCUACCACGGUCCCUCUGCCUUGGAGCCACUGAGCCAAAAUAAACCUUUCCUUCUUUAAUUUGCAGUUGUUGGGUAUUGUGUCUCAGAAAUGAGGAAAGUAACUAAGAGAAAGUUUUAGUAAGUUUAUAAAUUCAUAAGGUUUUAAACAAAUCAAACAAUGCAAAAUGUGAUGCUAAUAAAAACCAGUGCAUUCCCCGACUGGCUAUAAAAUUAUAUUUCCCGGGGUCAAUAGCUUUUAACUUUCUUCUUGUGAUUUCCAUCUGGUUUUUAAAUAUAAAAUAUUUUUACUGAUGUUUGUUUACUUCUAAGUUUUGGUUGUUAUAUACCGACUGCUUUUGUGAUUUGCAUGUUUAUUUUUUUAGUAGUUGUACCCCAAUUUGCUUAUCCUUUUUAAUUAAAAAAAAUUUUAAGUUGACAAAAUUGUAUAUAUUUGUGGUAUAGAAUUUGAUGUUUUGAAAUUUGCAUGCAUUUUGCAAAAUUGCCUCACCUAUUUUGUUGACUAAGUCCAUUAAUUGUGUACCAUGAUGGUUACUGUUAAUACAGUAUAUUAUGUACUCAAAACUUGCUCAGAGUAGGUAUUAAGUGUUCUCCCCUCUUCCUACUACAGUUCUGGCACUAAUUUUAGUUAAACAGGUAACUUGUAAUUACAUGAUUAUAACAAUGUAAAUACUGUUUGUUAAAAAGCGUAAUGUUGCAGUAAAUAAAUUUCCUGCUUUUAUUUACUUAA